rnacentral:rRNA from 1 species
CGUUGCUUCCCCGCGGACACCCCUCUGAGGUGUGUGCGGGGGAGGUCUACAGCAAACAAACACGCGCUCAACAGCAGUCAGAGGGAAAUUGAUAGAAAUGAUAAAAACUUUCAACAACGGAUCUCUUKGUUCCCGCAUCGAUGAAGAACGCAGCGAAAUGCGAUAAGUAAUGUGAAUUGCAGAAUUCAGUGAAUCAUCGAAUCUUUGAACGCACAUUGCGCCCCCUGGUAUUCCGGGGGGCAUGCCUGUUCGAGCCUCAAUGAAACCUCUYCCUCAGUUCAGGUCYUCCUGCACGUGAGGGGUAUUGCUGGAUGCCCACGCCUUGAAAAGUGCCGGCACCGCCCAAAUUCAAAGUCCGCAUGCCUGGGGGUAGCGACCAACGUAGUGAGAUUCAAUCUCGUUGGCGACGUGACCCCACAGAGGCAACGGGACCUUAAACGCCAAGGCGCCAACGUCAAACNCGGUGAACUCGGAUCAGGUAGG